UACGGAGGGUGCAAGCGUUAUCCGGAUUUACUGGGCGUAAAGGGCGCGUAGGCGGCGCGACAAGUCACUUGUGAAAUCUCUGGGCUCAACCCAGAACGGUCAAGUGAUACUGUCGUGCUAGAGUGCGGAAGGGGCAACUGGAAUUCUUGGUGUAGCGGUGAAAUGCGUAGAUAUCAAGAGGAACACCUGCGGCGAAGGCGGGUUGCUGGGCCGACACUGACGCUGAGGCGCGAAAGCUAGGGGAGCGAACGGG
rnacentral:rRNA from 1 species